UGCACGAUGUGAGUAGUACAGACCCGUGGUGCAAGUGAGGGAGUAGAUGUAAAAGGAAAGGGUUGGUUUGGUCUAAUGAUUUGAGAUGAAGAGGAGUGAAAGAUAUUAUGGACCACCAUUGCAAUUAUAUUCCACCUUCAAAGAGAAAUGCAAGGAAAUAUUCUGUUUCAUUCAAGUUAAAAAAAGUAUUUAAUUUGUAAUUUCAAACCACUAUUUUUUAAAAGUAAACUGUUGACGGUUAUCUAAGAACUUUUUUCUAAUUAAAUUUAUUAUGUUAGAUAUCGUUGUCCAAUGAUUUUUA
rnacentral:sRNA from 1 species